CACACGCAUGCAUGCAGACAGACACUGAUGUGUAGAAACGCACAUGCACGCAUGCAUGCCCAGAUACACAGACAGACGCGUCUGUGUCUUUGUACAGUAACACACAGGCAGUUUAAAAGCAUGUUAAAGCCAGACCUCUUUAUUGCACCUAACUUCACCCCACAAGAGGGUAAACAGGGAAAUAUAAAGAGGGAAAAUAUGGUUACACGGUGGGGAGGGGAGGGUAAUUAGGCUUAUACGCUGUCAAAUACACUUUUAGCUGGAAUAAAAUAUUUUUCGUAAUUAUAGCAAUAUUUGUAUUCAUAAUAUCUGUUUGCCUGGUUACAAAUUGUGUUUAUUGCAUUUAUUUUGUAGUUUUUCAUUCCAAUGUAGAGAUUCCAUGCAGGACCAAAGACAGGGAAGGUGUGUACCAGUAGUGUUUUUAUUUUAAUAUAAGUUAUUGUUUCGAUGUUAUGAAGCUUAUAUCCGUGCGACAUAAGUCUGCGAUUCUACUGAAUCAGGAAGUAUUGCUGUUGUGUAGAAGCCCAGCCGCGGUGUUCCGUUUAGAGACGGGCGAUCCUGCUCCACACUCCAGAGCGGAAUUCUGGCCCGGGCCCGUUCCUCACACUGUGGCACCCCUGCAGCCGCACACGCCUCUUUGCUCCUCGCCCGUCCCCUGUGUUUAAACCGUCACUGUGUGCGGUUUUCCCCCCCACCAUCUGCUGUAUCAGAGCUGGUUUGAAUGCUGGUUUUUAUCCAUAGUCUCUAGGGAGGGCUGUUUAACUGAAUCCCUGUCUCUGUAACAGAUCCAUAAGUUUUCAGCCGUGUAACAGAUUCGUAACGUGGUUGCUGGGUUUAAUCGACAGUGUGUGGCUGUGCGUGGUGCUCUAGAGCUCCCCCCUAUGGCAGGAUUGUAUACUGCUGUGCACUGGCCCUUGUCAGCCUAUAGCAGGGGUUCCCAAUCAUAUCUUAAAAGGGCUGAUGUGGGUGCAGAUUUUUGUUUUGGCCCAGCACUAAGACUCCUGAUUGUACUUUUGAAGGUCAUGAUUGAAGACCAUGAUCAGUUAAUUUGUUAUUGCUGGGCCAAAAAAAAAACCUGCACCUGCACCAGCCCUUUUCGGAUAAGACUGGGGACCCCUACUCUAUACUGUACACUUCACUGACUUGGACAGUGUAAUUGGUGCAUCUGCUUCAGUCACCACAGUGGAAUGGACUGAAGUAUUAGUGUUGAUGUAUUACUAAUGAGUGUAAUGAGUGAGUCUGGUAGCACCGUGAGACAGUGAUGUCAUAUGAACAGACAUUACACCGCGAGGCAGUGAUGUCAUAUGAACAGACAUUACACCGUGAGACAGUGGUGCCGUAUGAACAGACAUUACACCGUGAGACAGUGGUGCCGUAUGAACAGACAUUACACCGUGAGACAGUGGUGCCGUAUGAACAGACAUUACACCGCGAGGCAGUGAUGUCACAUGAACAGACAUUCCCCCCUUCCUACCAUUCACAGCUUUAAGCCGUGAAGGACUGAGAACUGAGCUCUGGAGUCUGGAAAGGGGACGGAGGCUGCGGUUUUGGGUUUUUAUUGCUAGUACUGUAAUGAAUAUUGCUGCAGUUGUUAUGAAUUAUGCAUCCUCAUUGCCGUAGAAACCGCUAACCCUGCUGCGCGGCUACGCUGUUGGCGCUGCGAUUGUUAUUUAAUGGCCUGUAGGUGGCGCCGGUCACAGGAGACGCGUUUAGUUCAGCUUUAGCGCUGCCUUUUACCGCUCCCUGCUCUUCUUCUUUGGUUUCUUUUCUCCUCCUGGCCUCCUGCCCCCCUACCCUUUCAGUCUGCCCUGCGUGACAGGGGAGGGGGCGGGGCAAAAUGCAACCAAAUCGACUCUCAGAACUUUUGUUUUUUCGUCAGGGUUGUCUGUUUCUUGUCUUUCUGUCUGUCCGUGUCUGUACAUCUCAGCCUGUCUGUGUGGGACGCGCUCGCUCGGUCUCGCUCUCCUCCUCUGUCCUCCUCUGUCCUCCGCGCAGGGAGAGGCGCCUCCUUCCUCUGUUCCGUUCGCUUUUCGUAAUCGCACAAUGUUACUGUAUUUUUUUUUCCCCGUUUCCCCCUUUUGUUUUUGUAUUUUUUUUAUUUAUUUAUUUUUAUUUGGCUUUAUCGGGUGGGAUUGGCUGUUUGAGCAAAGCGAAGUAAGCAUGUGCUAUGCAUCGGCAGGUAAGAGAGAGAGAGAGACUCGCUUCGCUUCACCUCGCCCAGCGGUCUGAGACUCUUCACUUUCGUGUCCUCGUGCGUGCGUGCGUGCGUGCGUGCGUGUUCAUGUCCAUGUGCACAAGUGGGUUGCAUGCAUGCACAUGGGUGUUCAUGCAUGCCUCUGUGUGUGUGUGUGUGUGUGUGUGUGAUGUGUGUGAGUGUAUGACUGUGUGCGGACUCUCCUGUUUGUUCUCUCCCCCUCUGCUCGGUGCAUAAGGCCUGUUCAGUUCCUGUCUGUCUGUGUUUGGACAGACCUGCAGUGGAUCAGACUGCUGGGGACCAGAGCUAGCGUUGUCUCUGCAUCUCUCUUCCCUCUCUCGCCCCGUAUGUAUCCCAUAUACGAAUACAUAGCGAUAUGUAUGUAUGAAUAUAUUUAUAGAGAAGGGUGCCUUGUCUAGUGAUCAACCUUGAUUCUUUUCAAAGGGCUUUCUGGUGAACGUUGUCGUUCCUCUGCUGUUAUGAACGAUUUGGGCUGUAAAAGGUCAAAAGUGACCGGUUCUAAGGUCCAGGCUGUUUUUUCAUGGAUCGAGGCCCCCCCCCCCCAUUUCAAAUGAACAAUAUGGGAUUGGUCUCACAUGUAACAGCUGUUUGCCACACCAGGUGUGUUUUUGUGGUCUUGUCCGCCAAGUUAAAUUGUCACCAGAAGGUGUUUUAGUACAGAUCAAGCCUUGAUCACUGCACUGAGGUGUCCAGCACGUGUCUAUCUAUCUAUAUGAAUAUACAAGAAUUAUACUGUGUAUUUGGGCUUUCAUUUUAUUGUGUAAGAGGGUUGUUUUUUUAAAAGAUUAUGUAUACUUAAGAGAGUUGAGGUACGUUUUUUAAUUAUUAUUUUCUUUUUUAAAUAAAUUGGAAAACGUUCAA